rnacentral:rRNA from 1 species
AACGAACGCUGGCGGCAUGCCUAACACAUGCAAGUCGAACGAGACCUUCGGGUCUAGUGGCGCACGGGUGCGUAACGCGUGGGAACCUGCCCUUAGGUUCGGAAUAACUCCCCGAAAGGGGUGCUAAUACCGGAUAAUGUCUUCGGACCAAAGAUUUAUCGCCUUUGGAUGGGCCCGCGUUGGAUUAGCUAGUUGGUAGGGUAAAAGCCUACCAAGGCGACGAUCCAUAGCUGGUCUGAGAGGAUGAUCAGCCACACUGGGACUGAGACGCGGCCCAGACUCCUACGGGAGGCAGCAGUGGGGAAUAUUGGACAAUGGGCGAAAGCCUGAUCCAGCAAUGCCGCGUGAGUGAUGAAGGCCUUAGGGUUGUAAAGCUCUUUUACCCGGGAUGAUAAUGACAGUACCGGAAGAAUAAGCUCCGGCUAACUCCGUG